GAUGAACGCUGGCGGCGUGCUUAACACAUGCAAGUCGAACGGAAGGGCCCUACUUUCGUGGGGUUCUCGAGUGGCGAACGGGUGAGUAACACGUGAGUAACCUGCCCUACACUUUGGGAUAAGUUCAGGAAACUGGGCCUAAUACCGGAUAGGAGCUGCUGUUGGAUGGAAAGGGGGGGAUCUUUUCGGCGGGUGGGGAUGGACGCGCGGCUUAUCAGCUUGUUGGUGGGGUAGUGGCCUACCAAGGCAUUGGCGGGUCGCCGGCCUGGGAGGGUGGACGGCCACAUUGGGACUGAGGUACGGCCCAGACUCCUACGGGAGGCAGCAGUGGGGAAUAUUGCACAAUGGGCGGAAGCCUGAUGCAGCGACGCCGCGUGCGGGAUGACGGCCUUCGGGUUGUAAACAGCUUUCGCUUGUGACGAAGCGUGAGUGACGGUACCGGGAGAAGAAGCACCGGCUAACUACGUG
rnacentral:rRNA from 1 species